rnacentral:lncRNA from 1 species
AAAACUGCACGAAAUUGCCUCUGCAGCAUUGAGUAUUGGCACACGAGUUGGGGUUACAUAUCAUUAGAUAGACACUGUUGAUAGUCCAGAUUCUACUCUUUUACACAAGAUAGUACAUAGGCAGUAGUGGUUCAGUUGUUGCUUAUCCAUGUGGGAAUUUGGUUACUCAUGAGACUUUGGACACUCGAGCUUUUGGAUACUUGAGGCUUCAGUUACUUGGGGUUUUGAAGUUGGAUUUCAAAUGAUGGAUUUUCCACCCCUCAUGGUAGCUUGUUAUUAAAAUAAAGGUUUUCCAUAUGGAAAACGAUUUUCAAAGUGAUUUUUUGGCUUUUCGUGGAUUUUCGAAAAAUAGAGUUUCAAAGUGAAGCCUUUGUGUAGGAGGCUCUUCAACUAAUAGGAAUAAAUGUGAAUUUGAUGUGGAAUGGUUGUGACUAAGGACCGUUACCUGUAUGUUGAUGAAUAUUGUUCGUUGUACAUCAGUCUAGUUGCUAAUUGUAUAUAUGCUACACUAUACAAAUACAGGAGAGACUCUUUCUGUUUGUUCCGGGAAUCCCCUAUAUUUGCAAAUCGGGAAGCUGGCAUUUCGAAUUGGCUUUCAAAAAAGGGACCCCGGGGCGUGACAAGGUGGUUUGGGCCCAAAAAGUUAUUAUUACUAGCAGGUCGAGACGUCUUGUUUGGCCCAAACCACUUGUCCAAAAUGCAUAAGCCCAUUUAUUAUUACUAGUGUCCAUAGUCUCUUAUAUACAUAAUUAUAAUUCCAUUUUCAUCCGAUGUGGGACUAUUGGGGUCUCUGAUAUAACUCAUUGGCCUUUUUCACAAUUUCAUGAAAUCUAUAAAUAGGCACAUAGGGUUUCGUUUUCAACGGUUCGAUUGUCCUGGACCCAAUGGCACUGACAGGUUUGGGUUUUGAUGCACGAUUUUGAGAAAAGGGAAGUUUAUCGCAAAGAGGGUUUUUGUUCUUUGCUGUUCUUGCGUUGUAAAACUUCUCGUGCUCCAUACGUGUGUCCUAGGGUAGGGUGGAGGAUAUUUCAGGUACCUACUUGUAACGACCCAGCCCACUAGCAACAAUAACUCGUUGGGCCCAACCACCGGCCCAAAAUGCUUAAGCCCAGUUAUUAUUACUAGUGUCUAAGUCUCUUAUAUACCCAAUCAUAUCUCCAUUCCUAUCCGAUGUGGGAUUAGUGGGAUGCGACAGACUCCCCCUGUAAAGGCCCUGACGUCCUCGUCAGUCCAAUCACAUACACAGCCCAAGAUCACCAGGCGAUGUGAGACUCGUCUCGCUAGCCUUGUCAUCCUGACCCUGACAUAGCAGGUCACCUUGUCAUUUAGACUCCGGCAUAGCCUAUCACCUUGUCUUUUAGACCCUAGCUCAGCCGAGACUCGCCACACAUUUUUCGCCGGUGAACUGGCUCUGAUACCAAAUGUAACGAUCCAGCCCAUUAGCAACAAUAACUCGUUGGGCCCAACCACCGGCCACAAAUGCUUAACCUUAGUUAUUAUUAUUAGUGUCUAAGUCUCUUAUAUACCCAAUCACAUUCUCAAUUCUAUUUGAUGUGGGAUUAUUGGGGUGUGACACUACUAGUGGUAGGGAAUUCAAAUUUGAAUUUGAAUUUGAGGUUUAUUCGAUUUAUAUUCACGUAUAUGUGUGAUUUUUGGAAAUUAGAGAGAGGAUAGUUUUUUCGGCGAAUCGACGACCAAAUCAAAUGAAACAAAAUUGUGGGUUUGAUGUCUUGGUCGUGAUGAACGCGUUGGUGCAGUUCGUUCGCAAAUCUUACUGACGGAUCUCCUGAUAUCGCACAAGGAGUGAGGAUGGGUCAUAUGUGGCAAAACAAAAAUUUUGCGAAAAGCCCUACAUUUUAUGCACUGAUUUGCGUGAAAUCGAAGAUAGGGGUACAUUAGCGUGUUUUACUCGCGCUGUGAAGGAAUCAGAUUAAAAUAUCUGGAUUUCGGGGACUUUUGUGCAAAAUGAAACUUUGUAUAUAUGGACCUCUAGGGUUUUCAUGGGUGAAACCCUAACCCUAGCCAUUGCCACCCUGAGCUGAGGCCCCAGUCGCCUCACCAUCCUCCCUUGCCUUUGCCGCGUGCAUCCCGGCCGCUGGCGCACGCCUCCGGCCGCCGAAAAAGACACAUUCUCUCUCCCUCAGCCUCACAUUGCUUUUCCUGGCUCUCCAUCCCUGUCGAGCAUAAGUGGAAGGUCCAUCUCUCUCCGGCCCCUCACCAGUGCCUCUUUCGGCCCUCCGGUGACCCUCCCCGCCGACUGUCGCAGCCCCGGGGCGCCGCCGAUGCACUGCAGCAGCCCUGCGGCCAUCAUGGGUGAGCGAGGGCCGAGGAGACAUCGCGGCUUUCCCUUUGCACCGCCGCCGCCGUCGCCGCCUAGGGCCACCUUGGCCGCCCUCCUCUGACUUCCGACGAGCCGUCACCGUCUCCCUGAAGCCCCACGGCCGCCGCCGUGGCCGUGGUGAUCUGCAGAACCUGAGUUGAGCCCGUGCAGGCUCUGGUUGCUCUAGCGCCGCCGCCGCCUUUCGCCGCCGGCCAACGUGAGGGCUAGCUUCCCCUGGUCGACCACACUCAUCUGCCGCCGGUGCUCCCACCGCCGGAGCCGCUUGCCGGCUGGACUGGAGUCGAGCUCUCUGUCAUUCAGUGCGGCUAGGGCAUCAGUGCCCGCCACCGCCACCGCCUUUCGUCGCCGGCAGACGCGCGCCCGGACCUCUCCUUACCAGCUGCACGUGCCCUGGCCCCCUUGCCCGGGAAGCUUUUAUUAAGCUGUUUGUGCACUAUUUUGGUUUGUGAUUGCUAUUGCGACGACCCGGGGAUGUUCCGAUGCCUCCGGAGGUGAGCACGGUGAUCGUCGGUCAGUGCUGAUCACAGUGCUCACCUCAUUUGGGGUCAACGAGCCCCGGAUUGAUGAAUUAGACGUGUUUUAGUUUUAGCGCGCAGGAUUCGCAGAUUUUUUUAGUCGCUCCCGCGCUCUCCAAAGUGGACGGUUGUGCUCCAGAUCAUGAGCACAGCCUCCGGCACGUCGAGACCUAUCAGUACAUGUCUCGGCUGACCUCGAAAGCCAUCGAUUUGCUGUAACGACCCAUAAAAACCGGUAAAUCAGAUAAAAUUAUGUGAUUUAUGGAAUAGUAAGGGCUUUUGUGUAAUUGUACACUUCGCGGGUGCUGUGGGUAGUACAUGUGUGUGAGGAUUGAGAUUUUGGCAGUGUAGCUUAACUCCUGGUUGACGAUAUUUUUGUGUGUAAUUUAAUUACAUAUGCACUCGUCAAGUUUCAGGAGAAAGCGAGUUAGAAUGAAGAAGUUACGCGAACUUUAGUAAUGACUUAAAGUGAAUAGUAACUCCGGUUUUUCGAAGAAGCCAAUGAAUAGAGUUUGCUUCUAGCGCAUAUCGGAUUUCGUUCAUAGUGAUCCAAUAGCUCGUUUUAAAUGGUUUGGCUAUUCUGGAACCAUUGGUGUUGACAGAUUUCAGGUUUGACGCACGAAUUUCGAGAAAACUGAAAAUACAUGUAUUGUAUGUAUUUGUGCAUGGUUUUACAAUUCAGAGAGAGGAUAGGUUUCAUUGUGAAUCCGUGACCAAACGAGGUGAAACAAAAUCGUGGAUUUGAUGUCUCUGUCGUGCUGAUCACACUGGGGUGAUCCCUUCGCAAAUCUGACGGACGGAUCUCCUGAUAUCGCACGUUGAUCGAGAAGGGGUCUUUAUUGGCAAAACAGUAAUUUUGUGAAAAGUGUGAUAUUUUUUGUACCGUUUUACGUGAAAUCGAACGUGGGAGUAUGCAAACGCAUUUUACUCGCACUGUGAGGGACUCAAUUAGAGAAUCUGAGUUUUCGGGGACUUUUGUGCAAAGUUGCCCUUUGUAUAUAUAAAUGCUUUAGGGUUUCAUCAUGAAACCCUAACCCUAGCUGCCUCAGCUCACACCCCAGCCACCUCAGCUCGACCCCUUGACCCGGCCGCCGACGCCCGCCUUUGGCCGCCGAAAAAAGGGCGGCAUUACCUCCCCUCUCUAUAGCCCCAACUUGUUGCCAUCUUCUUGGACGUGGAUCACCCCGGAGUGAUCUACACCCUCUGGCAACCCUCCGGCCACACCCCGGAUCUCCGACGAGCCCCGCCGCCGGUCGUUGCCACCCCAAGAGCUGCCAUGCGGCUGUGGUAUGCUUGCGACCAAGCUUGGGCUGGCACGGUCGAGUUCGGGUGAGUCGAGUUUCUAGCUGCCGGCCGCUGUCCCUGAUCCUUCUCCUCGACUCUCCGGCACCGCCGUACCCAACCUAGACCGCCGCCACCAACGUUGCGUGCUCGGAGAGCAUCUACGGCCACGUCGGGCUUGCUUUUACUCGGGCGACCGUGAGAUGUUGCGCGCGGCCGGCCGUUGCUGCCCCAAGAGCCGCCAUGCGGCUGUGGCAUGCUUGCGACCAAGCUUGGGCUGGCGUGGUCGAGUUCGGGUGGGUCGAGUUUCUAGCUGCCGGCCGCCGUCCCCGAUCCUUCUCCUCGACUCUCCGGCACCGCUGUACCCGACCUAGACCGCCGCCACCAACGUCGCAUGCUCGGAGAGCAGCCGCGGCCGCGCCUGGGCUUGCUUUUACUCGGGCGGCCGUGAGAUGUUGCGUGCGACCGUCGCUGCUUAGCUUCUCCUCCUUCCUUCUCCCUGCUACCCCCGCUGCCGUUCGGCACCGCCCCGUGGCCGCCGCUGCCAAAGAAGAAGCCAGACCUUCUCCCUUGGGUGCUUGCGGGCUAGGGCAUCGCCGCCCGCCCCACCAGUCGCCUUCCGCCGCCGGCAAACCCACGCGUCACCUCCCCUUGGUUGGCAGCACUCGACUGUAGCCGGCACCUCCACCGCCGGAGCCCCUCACCGGCCGGAACCAAGCCGAGCUCUCUGUCAACCCGUGCGGACUUGUUCUGCUCUGCUUCACCACCGGCCGUCUCCUGCUGCCGACCAGCGCGAGCUCCGGCCCCCUCUGACCUGCCCCCGCGUCGGACCGGCCUGUCCGACGUCCGGUCUUCGCCGGCCGCCCCGUGCCCUACCUUGCCCCGGUAAGGCUGCUAUUAAUUUUUGCAUGCUAUUUUGGGUUUUCUUUCACUGUUCCGGUGAUCUGGAGAUCCCACGACACCCCGGGAAGUGAGCAUGAUGAUCUUUGAUUCGUGCUGAACAGCAUGCUCACCUCCGUUAGGGUCAGAGAUGCCCUGAUUUACGGGAUAGACGUGUUUUUAAUACUGUGUGCGUUGUUUCGCUGUUGUUCGCAUCGCUCGCGCGCUCGCCACAGUGGCUGGUAGUGCUCUGAAGUGUGAGCACGGCCGCCGGCACGCCGAGACCUAUCAGCAGGUGUCUUGGCUUGGCUGAAUGAUCCUCGGUUUGCGCUGUCGGGCCAUAAAACCCCAAAAAUUAUAUGAAAUAAUGUGAUUAUUAUGUAAUCGGGAGCGUUUUUACGCAAAUGUGUUUGUUGUGGUCGCUGUUGGCUGCGUGUGUGGACAGCGGGUAAUCUCUGGACUUGUUGUCCAAGGCCCCAAGCCUUUCCGAAAAUCAAGUGAUGAUUUUCGGCAUGUUUUUCGGUGAAAUCUACCAACGGAACGUGCUUUCGGUUCAGAAUUCUUCCGACGGUGCCUUGCGGUUAGUCUUGUGGUCGUUGAGCCUUGUUGGCUGGUCACUCGUGUCGUUUCGUGGGUCCGAAAAUGACGGGUGAGCGACGGUGGGUUCCGGUGCCGAAUUGGACACUCUCGGGAACCCGGAUCGGAACGGUUAUCCGACGAUAAUUAUUUCGAAGCGAGAUAGUUUAUUUGCUGCCAAGUCACAAGAAAUGUGGAGUUUGAUGGCAGCGAGUGACUCAUAGCGCGAGUCGGUGUGUUCCGGGACAGUUUCGUGGGUCCCGGCGUAGUCCCAGUGCGAUUUUCGGAACUUCCGGCAUAUUACGAUAGUCGGUUUUGGAAACCGAUUUCUGUAGGGUUAUGGGGUGGGAUUGUGAGUUAGUGGUACAUGUUGGUGGAUUGGAUUCUAACCCGGUGGACCCUUCGUAGGUCCGGUUGACAUUUUCUCCGCAGUCGGAAGAUAAGUACCGUAUUUGUUCAGGUGGGUACUUCGAUCCGAAGUCGGUACAGUGGUGCACGCUCGGUGAUAUCCUCUUACCUUUGUUCUUCCGUUAUUACUUUACAUGCAUAUAUUAUAUGUUGAGCCUAGCAUCUAUAUCAUGUUGCCUUGUUGCUCUACUUAGCUGUUUUGUAUAUCCUGUAUCAUGUUUAGAAAUAGAGCGAUUUUGUGAUUAUCUGUGAGAUCCAUGACCUAGUCGGUCAGUUCGUUGCAUCGGUUGUUGUGACCUGGUUGGUCGGUUCCUGUAUAUCGUAUCUGUGACCUAUUUGGUCGGCUCAUUGCAUUGUAUAGUGACCUACUUGGUCGGUUGGACUAGUUGAUGAUAUCUGCGGCCUGGUUGGUCGGUUUUCUUAUCUCAUAUCUGUGACCCAUUUGGUCGGCUUAUUGCAUUGUAUGGUGACCUACUUGGUCGGAUGUUACAGUUGAUGACCUAUGCGGUCGGUGUGCCCCGAGGGGCAGGAUUGUCGGCUGGUUGCUGACGGUUGGCUUUUGAGCAUUUAGCAUUGAUCGCCCUUUACUCGUUCACAUUUCACGAACACCAGCGGUCUGAUCCAGUGCAAGAGGGUGUUCUUUUCCGAAAAAGUGGUUGGAGGUGACAACCCGUGAUCCCAUGGACUGUUUUGGGUUAUAUGCUGGUAGAGUGACAGCUUGAGGUCUGCGGUGCGAACCGACAGAGCACAGCUUGAGGUCUGCGGUGCGGACCAACAUGGCACAGCUUGAGGUCUGCGGUGCUGAGCAAUAGAGCACAAGUUUCAGAUUGGGUAUUUUUUUGGACUUGUCGUCCGGUUGAUGCAUACAUACAGUAGCAGUAGUGUUUCAUAUAUAUACAUCUCGUCUUACUUGUUUAUCAUGGCUAUUGUAUUACCACUAUCUAUACCUUUGUUUGUUCUCCGUGACUAGUGAGUACCCCUCGCCCUCGUCGGCUUGCGGUACCCACUGGGAGGGAAGACAUGUUUACAUGUUCUCACCCCCCACCCCCAUUACAGGUAACAUUGCUGGUCCUAGUGGGACGGUUCGUGAGGAGCGCGUCUAGCGGUCGAUAAAGCCACCGUCUCGUCGCUUGAUUAAAACUCUAGCUCAGCUUCUUUAAAUUAUUGACUUAGACAGUUAAUUGGUUCAGUGACUUAUCACUUUUGAAUUAUAUGGUUUUAUGAAUGUAAUAAAGGAUUUGUGGAUUUCGUGAAAUGAAAAAGGUUUUCUACCCCUCGUAGCAAGUUUUAAAAGGAACAGAUUUUUGUAUGGGAAAUAGUUUUUAAAGGUUUUCUUGUAGUUUUUUUGUGACUUAGUAUUUCAAAACCAGUUUUCGGGUAGGAAAUAUUUUUAAACUAAUAGGUGGAUUUAUGGUUAAAACUCUGAAAGUGAAUCUGAAUGUGAAUGCGGUAUGAAUGUAUGAAUAUAUGAAUGUUUGUAUGUUCAGUUGUGGUAAUUGUAUCCUGUUUAUGAAUCUUGUACUUGUGCGAUGUCGUGCAACCACAGGGAACACUAUCCGUGUGAACAGUGGACUCACUAUAUUUGUGGCGGAUUUGGCAUACCUUGGGGGUCAGGUUUUCAAAAAUUUUUUUUGGGCACUUCAGCUUUACUUUUAAAUCAAAAAGGACCCCGGAGCAUGACAGUGUGGGCUGUGGGUGACCUCUGGACUGAUUGUCCAAGGUCUGAUGCCCUUUGCGGAAAUCAAAUAUUGAAUUUCGAUACGUUUUUUAGCGAAAUUCACCGACGAAACGCGGUUUCGGUUUGAAUUUCUUCUGACCGUGCUAAAGUGAGUUAUGUUUUGUCGUAGAGCCUUGUUGGCUGGUCAUUUAUGUCAUUCCGAAAGCCUGGAGACGACGGGUCAGCGACGGUGGGUUCCGGUAUCGAACACGACACUUUCGGGAACCUGGAUCGGAACGGUUAUCCGACGAUAAUCUUUUCGAUGUGAGUCUUCGUGUUUUCUGCCAGUGCACCUUUAUUACGGUGUUUAGUGGCAGUGGAGUACCGGUGCGAUUUUCGGGACUUCCGGCGGUUCACGGUAAUUGAUUUUGGGAAACCGAUUCCCGUGGGAUCAUGUGUGGGGUUGUGAGUUUAGUGUUUCUUAUUUGUGGGUUUGAUACUAACUCGGUGGACCCUCCGUAGGUCCGGUUGACAAUUUUCCACAGUCGGGAGACAUGCGCGAUAUUCAUACAAGCGGGUAUUUCGAUCCGAAGUUGGUAAAGUGGUGCCUGCUCGGUGAUUUCUACCUUUUUUACUGCUUUUCAUUUACUUGAUGUUGAUUGAGCUUUCGUAUACUACUUGACUUCGUAAUUCGUUGCUCUACAGGUACUUCUAUUUCAUAUGGUCAUAAUCUUAUAGUAGAGCAGUAUUCCUAAUGAUUGACUCAUCUAUGACAUGUUUAUAGUAGAUGAUCUUGACUUUGGUGACCUUAUAGUUAUUGACACUCGUAUCCUUACAUGACAUGAUUUGAUAUUAGUUGACUUCAUAGUCGGUGACACUCGUAUCCUUCCAUGACAUGAUUUGACAUUAGUUGACUUCAUAGUCGGUGACAUUUCUGGCGGUCUAUUGCAUGACUUGCUCUAUUUGAUCUAAUUGGUCGGUGAUAUUGUUCUAUCCUUGUGAUAGAGGUUGACCUGGUUGGUCGGUUACUAUGAUAUUGUUCUAUCCUUGUAAUAGAGGUUGACCUGGUUGGUCAGUUACUCUGAUAUUGUUUUAUUCUUAAGAUAGAGGUUGACCUGGUUGGUCGGUUACUCCUUGUUGGACUUUUUUUCGACUAUCCGUCGACAUUGGGCUAUUGAGUAUAUUGCAUCGAUCGCCACUGCUCAUAUGCAUUUCACGUACACUAGGGGUCUGAUCCACCGCAAGAGAGUGUUCUUUUCCAGAAAAGUGGUCGUACAUCUGACCCGUGAGCUCAGUGGUCACUUGCUGGGUUAUAUGCCAGGAAGACCUCAGCGGUCAUUUGCUCGGGUCACAUCCCUGCUAAAGCGGUAGUGGCAUAGCCUGAGGUCUUUGAAUCGAUAUGGCGGCUUCUGGAUUGGGUAUUUUUGGGACUAAUCGUCCGGUUGAUGCAUACUUGCACUUUGUUCUAUAUUACAGUAGCAGUUAGUUAUAUUCCUCUAUACUGUUGUUUACCCUCUGCAUCAUUGCUAUUGUAGUUAUGAUAUCCGUGUAUGCAUUCUGUUCUACUUUACAGUAGUGGUAGUUAUAUAUUCUAUUACUUUUCUCUUUUCUUCCGAUAUUAUUGUUAUUGUAUUUGUGAUACUGUUCAUGACUUUGAUUAUCUUUUCCUUCACCGGUGAGUACUCCUCCCCUUCGUUGGCUUGCAGUACCCACUGGAAGGGGAGACAUGUUUACAUAUUCUCACUCCCCACUAUUUUUCAGGUGAUACGGGUGGUGAGGAUUGCGAUGAGGCGUGAGACACGUUAGUAUCGAUAGAUAGAGCUUCCGACCCGGUUGAAUUGGUUUAGUUUCUCUCCUUGCUUAUUCAAAAUAAAUGACUUAGACAUUUAUGGUUCAGUGGUUUUAUUUCGGUUGAGUGUUUAUGGAUUUAUAAAGUUAAACAUUGUGACUUUUAUAACAGUUUGUGAGUUGUGAAAAUGGUUUUCUACCCCUCGUGGUAGUGUCUUUAAAGAAAAGAUUUCCGAGUGGAAAACAGUUUUAAAAGGGUUUUCUCGUGAAAAUGUAAUAGUAUGUUGUGUAGUGAAUGAUUGUGAUUGUACUUAUGCUUGCGUGACGCCGUACAAAUAUAGGGGAGGAUUUGUCCGUGUAAACAGUGGAUCUCCUGUAUUUGUGGCGGUUCUGUCAUCCCUUGGAUCAAGAUUUUCAAAAAAAAAUGUAUUGGGCCUUUCUGCUAUUUUAUAAACUAAAAAGGGACCCCGGGGCGUGACAACAAACUUAAUUAAAAUUAAUUAGUAGUAAUUUAUCUUAACAUUUAAGUUUUGAAUUAUUUUUUGUCACCCAAAUCCUUGCCGACUAGAAUUAUUAAUAGAUUAUUGUUAGGCUUCGUUUUCACUACUCGAGUAUCCGAAUUACAUGAAACUUUAAAUAUGAGCUCAAAAAAUUAGUACUGACAACUUCUCAACAUUUUAUAAUUUUUUAUUAUUGUAAAUUUUUAGUUGAAAUAUAAGCUCUAUUCCUUACAGAAAAUUUCAAAACUCCUAUUUUUAUUCUAAUUUUAGCACAAAUAAUUUUUGAAUUACCUUUUACAUCUCCAAAUCAAAUACAAAUAGUAUCUCAUAUUAUUUUUAACUACACUGGCUUCUAUAUCAAAAAACACAGUGUACUACUUAAGUAAUCUCAAUUUUAUUUACUAAUAUUUAGUUGUUAUAUUUACUUUUUAUUAAUUGGAAUCAACAAUCAAGUUUGAAUUUAAUUACCGAUCGUCCCUACAGCAAGUGGCAAAGGACUUGGUGGUUGGUACCCAAGACCCAAGUUCGAAUCCUAGUUGAUUCACAUUUCUAGCUAAGUUUAUUUCUAAAUGAAAUAAACGAAGUGGGUAGCGUGCUACCGAUAUCUCAAAAAAAAAAAGAUUGAAUUUAAUUUCAAAUAUGGGCCGUGGCUACUAUGCUAUUAUGAGUAUUGGAGCCCUCGUACUUAUAAGUUGUUUUUGAUGAUGGAGUUUCCGAAUCGACGAUCCACUCCGUUAAAUAUGAUCUAGAGUAUUUGAAAUUUCUAGAAAAUAAAUUUCGUAAAAUUUCGAAAUCAUAAUAAAGUGCAUCAAGCGGGCAAAAAAUGAAUGGUCAAAAUCGAACGACGUCCUAAAAAAGGAUGAUCGGAUCCUUCAAAUCAAGAUCGGAGUUAUUGAUCUUUAUUUAGGUAGUGAAUAGAAUUUUCUAUCAAAAAUUCAACAAAUUCCGAUUCUUUUACACUGUUAAACUAGCAAGUAUCCCAUACCUAGGGCUGGCAAACGAGCGAGCCGGCUCGUGUUCGACUCGUGUUCGGCUCGAUAUUCGGCUCGCUCGAGCUCGACUCGAAAUUAAAUGAGCCGAGCUUGAACAAAAUAAAAGGCUCGAAAUUCAUUUCAAGCCGAGCUUGAGUAUUACUCGGCUCGUUCGAAUUAGGCUCGAAAAGCUCGAAAAGCUCGAAUAUAUAUAUAUAUAUAUAUUAUAUAUAUAUAUAAUAUAUAUAUAUAUAUAUAUAUAUAUUAUACUCUUUAUGAGUAUAUGACCUCCUUGUAUCAUAAAUUUUUACCGUUGAUUGAUGGAAUGUGUGGUAGGUGAGAUGUCCCCAUUUGAAUGAUAUGGUCUCCUCGGUGAGUGGGUAGCUUGUUAAAUAAUUAUCAUGUCUAUAGAUAAAAUGAUUAAUGUGAGAAAUGCUAAGAGGUCGAAAACUUAUGCAGUAUAAAGAAAGCCUAUACUCAUAAAAGUAUAAAAGCACUGGACAUCAUAUUAUAUAUAUAUUAUAUAUAUAUAAUAUAUAAUAGUAGGGCUAGAAUACUUUUACAAGUAGAUCAGGCCUCAAGGAUACGUUGUGUGUUUUUAGGCCCUUGGAGAGAGAUGUGUAGGUUGAGAUUGUAUGGUGUAGGUGGUGGAGGUGGAAAAGUGGGUUUAUCCAAGGGCUAUUUGUAAUCAAAAGUAGAUCCAAUGGCUAAAAACGUGAGUAGCAAACAUGAGGAUGAUAUUUAUAAAUAUAUAUGCAUUUUUAAAAUUAUAAAAGGCUUAAAUUAAAUUUGGCGUCAUUAUUGUUUGGCACCAUGAAUAAACCCAAACAAGUACAAUCGUACAAUUGAAGUCAAACUCCUAAAUUUAUAUAAGCACACUCUCUACUUUCAGCUUUCAACUUGUUGACAUAACCGUAAAACAUGAAACAUACAAAUUUUCAAAUCCCUACUUUUUCUCUCUCUCUCUCGGCUGGCAUAGCAUUCUCGUCUCUCUCUCAGUACCCUCAUCUACGUCAGGUAAGUCACCGCUAUGCUCACAUUUCUUUAAUUAUCUUUGUAUUUGAACUACUUGGAUCAUUUGCAUCAAAUUGAGUAGUAAGUUCUAUAAUAAAUAAACUAUUGAUUAUAUAAUGUCAAGAUUUAAAUCGCUCGUUUAAAGCUCGGAGCUCAGGCUCGACUCGAAAUUAGGCUGCGCUCGACGCAUCCGCCGAAUUAAUUUCAAGCCGAGCUUGAGCCUAGAUUUAGGCUCGAAAUUAAUUUCAAGCCGAAUUUGAGCUGACAUAAGCUCGCUCGAGCUCGGCUCGUUUCCACCCCUACCCAUACCGGCCUAUAAAAUUGUCAAAUUUGUGACCUCUUGAUCGUGAGAUAAAUGAUGUUGAAAAAUUAUAAAAUUUGAUUUCUAGAAGUUUUAAAUGCUGUAAAUAAUGUUUAACGGUAUGGAUCGUCGAUUCGAAAGCUCUAUCAUCGAAAAUGAUUUAUGAGUACGAGAGCGAUCGUACUCAUAAUAGUAUAGUAGCCGGACCCUCAAAUAUGAGUUAAAAUUUAACGAUAGAUUGAAAACUUUUUAAUGUUUUUUGAAUUUUAACGAACUUAAAAUUUAAGUAUGUGUUUUAAACUAAAAGUAUCAAAAUUUUAAUAUGCCUUUAAUUCAAAAUCAAAUUUGAUAUCCAAAAUUAAAUUUAAUUCACGAUUUAAACUCAAAUUUUAUACAAUAAAAAAUAGACUAUAUAAUUAUCAUCGACAACAAUUAUUUAAAUUUGAGGUAGGAUAUGAUAGAAAUUUUCUAAUAAAAUAUAAAUGAUGAAUUUAGUUUUUUAAAAUGUUAAAGUACAGAAAACCUCCUGUUAAUACCCACUUUUUCACUUUCACUUCCGUCAUUUAAAAAUCUACACUUUGCCCCCUUGUAAAAUAAAAAAUGUUCACUUCACCCCUACCGUUAGUGCUCCGUUACAGUUCUAUUUAUAAAAUAUUAUUAUAUAGUUUAUUAUACCAAAAAUACCCUCAUCCUUCUCUCCUCAACAUUGUUGCUCGCUCUUCUCCGCCUGGCCACCUCGCCCUCUUUCGCUGCCUCGCCCUUGCCCACAUCUCCAUCCGCGCCCAUAAACACCCCCUCGCCCUCCUCCGUUGCCUCGCCUUUGCCGUCACCCUUGCCCACCUCUCCAUCCACGCCCACCUUGAUUUUAUCCCUACUGUCGUCGAAAUAGAGGGGCGAUGAGGGUGUAGGAGGAGAAGGAGAGUAGGUGGAGAAGAAAAUGGAGACGAACUACUGCCGAUCAAGGCGCGAAAAAUGAAAGAGAAGAGGCGGCGGAUGAGCAAGAUUGAGGAGAAGACGAAAAUGGUGAGGGGCAAAUUGGUCAUUUUGUCAUCACAGUUCACACCGUACUCCCCUGUGAAUAUUUUUUAUUUUACAAGGGGGCAAAGUGUAGGUUUUAAAUGACAAGGGGGGAAAGUAAAAAGGCAGGUAUUGACAGGGAGGUUUUAUAUAAUUUAGCCAUUUUAAAAUUUAAAUUCUUAUUACAAAUUUUUGGAUAAAUAUGAUACAAAAAUUUAUAUUAAUUUGAAAUAACUAUUAAAAAUAAUUGUUAUGUGAAUUUGUACGUCCACUCAACUAGUAAUUAAAAAUAUAUAUACUGAAUGGUGAAUAAAAAUUAUAUACAUGGAAUAAUUUAUAUUUAGAUGUUUUUAGAUUUGAAUUUUAUUUGAGAAAUAAUAGAGUUCCCCAUGUCACAAAAACUCUUACUAUGUCAAGGAACGGAAGAAAGGAAGAGAGAAGACACUACAUAGAUUUGGAAGGUGAAAAUACUAGAGAAAGUAAAGAUCUUUGUUUAGCUCGUAUUGAGAAAAAAAGUAUUUACAUAUGGUAAUCUACAAAAAAAAAAGGAGGUUGGCAAGGGGAGCAAAAUUGUGUGCUCUAUGCUGUUGAAUGUGAGACUAUAGACCAUCUAUUCAUGAAUUGUGUUUGUGCCAAAUACUUGCUCUUCCGUCUGCUACCUAAUUCUGAUGCUAUAUUAAGCAACAUGGCGAUAGAGGACCUUUGAGAAGUAUGUUGAAUGCAGACAAAUACUACAAAAAGGAUGAAAGAUCUUCUAAUGUUUACCGUGGUGUGGUGGCUUGUGUUGUUGAAGAAAAAUAACAAAAUAUUCCAAAAUUGGAGAAACAAUAUAGACCGUACCCUAAACGAAAUUCACAAACUAAGGGAGCUUUGGGAAGAUCACUAUAGUAGCCGAAGGUAGUUGAUGUAUCAUGAUCUGUAUCACUGUCAGUCUUAUUUUCGUUUUUGAUUUUUGGUUUUUAUUUUUUUUCAAGGCUCCGUUGUGUCACGGCCUUAAAGUUUGCAAAGCCCGUGCGGCGCCCGCCUUCCUGCUCGAAGAUGGGCAAGCCUAGCUCCUUGUUGAGCCUGGACCUCCGCUCCCUACGACUAAGUAUGUAAAAAGAAGAGAAGAGAGGGGCAGAGGUUUUUGAAAAAUGUACUCCACUACUUCGAAAAAAUAGGACUACAAUACACAACUCCUCUUGUGUUUCUACCUCCACUUUGGCCUUAGCCAACCUUGCUACUUAUAGGCACCUAGAUACAAUAAAUCUAGCCUACAUGUCACAUCCCGGGGUCCCUUUUUUAUUUAAAGUAAAGCGGAAGUGCCCAUAUUUUUUUUUUAUUUUUUUUUAUUUUUUUAACCUUGACCCCUAGGGUAUGCCAGAUCCGCCACAAAUACAGGGAGUCCACUGUUCACACGGACAGAGUCUCCCCUGUAUUUGCACGGCGUCCUACAAGUACAAGAUACAACUUUACUAUACCAAAUACAACCACACAUAUGAACAUCCACAGAUAAUCAUACACCAUUCACAACCAUAUUUAUUUUAUCACGAAUAUUCAUAAUUUAUAUCUAUCAGUUUAAAAUGUUUCCUACCCGAAAACUCGUUUUGAAAUACUAAGAGUCAUGAAAACCAAUAAAAUCUUUUCAAAACCGUUUCCCACACGGAAACCAUUUUCUUUAAAACACGCUACCACGAGGGGUAGAAAGCCGUUUUCAUCUCAAAGAAAACCAUAAGUUCUUUAAUUCGUUUAUCCAAGUAAACAAAAACCAACUGAACCAAUAUGUCUAAGUCAUAUCAUCAGAAAUAAAGAGGGUAGCAACUAAGCCAAACAAACCGGGUCGGAAGCUCUAUCGACCGCUACGAACAUGUCUCACGUCUCGUCUCAACUCUCACAGCCCGCAAUACUUGAAAAAAUGGUGGGGGAGGUGAGAACAUGUAAACAUGUCUCCCCUCCCAGUGGGUACCGCAAACCGACAAAGGCGAGGAGAACUCACCGGAUUAGGAAGAGAUAAAUAAGGUUAUGAGCAGAUAUAACAAAUACAGUAGCCAUAAACUGAAAGGAGUUAGAACAAUAACAGAAUAGAUAACUACCACUACUGUAAAGAAGAACUGAAAGCAUACAUGGAUAUCAAAACUAUAGUAGCAAGAUAAGUGUAAAGAAAGAACUGUAAGUAUGCAUGCAACGACCGCUACUAUAGUCAUAUACGUCAACCGGAUGUGUAGACCAAAUAUACUCAAUCUGAAAUCUUUGCUCUGUUGGUCCGCACCGCAGACCUCAAGCGUGUGCCCACUGCCACUCUACCAUGCAUAUAACCCCUCUUGGGCUCACGGGUUGGCACCUGCAACCACUUUUCCGGAAAAGAAUACCUAGCCGUGGUGGAUCAGACCGCUGGUGUUCGUGAAAUGCGAACGAAUCUCGAGCGAUCAAUGCUGAUAUGCUCAAUGGCCAAUCGUCGGCAACCAGCCGACACUCACCGCCCCUCGGGGCAAACCGACCAAUAGGUCAUCAAACUGUAAGGAAGCACAAGAACCGACCACUCAGGUCAACUAGGAUGGAACAACUCAACAUCCUCUCAAAGGUAUGCAAGUACUGCUCAAUGUCAACUAAAUGUAUGCACAAUAACCGACUAAUAAGUCACAGGGAUAUCACAUCACGAAUCGAUAUAAUUCAGAACUAACCGUGAGCCACUAGCUGACAAUCCUAUCCCUCAGGGUACACCGACCUCAUAGGUCAUCAAACGACAAGAGUCACGAAACUGACCGACUAGGUCACAUACAUGUCAAAUAAUGGAUCUGAGUAAACUAUAAUCCUCCAUCGGUAAUGACUAGCCGACAAUCCCACCCCUGAGGGUAUACCGACCUCAAGGGUCCUCAAACAGCAGGAGUCAAGGAACCGACCAAAUAGGUCACAGUACUAGAUACCAAAACCGACCAACUAUGUCACAGAUCUCACAAGCAAUCAUAAACUAGCUCUACUUCUACUCAUGAUACUAGACAUACAAACAACCAAGUAGAGCGUAACAAGAAUACAAAGGUGUUAGGGUCAACAUAAUAUAUAUGCGCAGGAUAGUAACAAGAGAGCAAGGGUAAGAAGAUAUCACCGAGCGUGUACCACUGUACCGACUUCGGAUCGAAGUACCCACCUGUAAGAAUAGUGUGCCUGUCUCCUGAUUGCCAAAGAACGUCAACCGGACCUAAGGAGGGUCCACCGGGUUAGUAUCUAACUCCCAUAUAUGAAACACUACUCACAAACCCACCUGCAAAACCCAUGGGAAUCGGUUUUCCAAAACGAUUAUCGUAACUUACCGGAAGUCCCGAAAAUCGCACUGGGACUACGCCGGGACCCACAAACUGUCCCGGAACACACCGACUCGUGCUAUGAGUCAUUCGCUGCCACUAAACACAAAUAUUCAUACGACAUGGCAGUAAACAUACCGCCUCACAUCGAAACGAUUAUCGUCGGAUAAUCGUUCCGAUCCAGGUUCCCGGAAAUGUCCAAUUCAACACCGGAACCCACCGCCACUCGCCUACCGUUUUUGAACCAUCGAAAUGACGCGGUUGAUCAGUCAACAAGGCUUAGCGACAUAACAAAUUAUUAUCACUAGGCACCUUCGAAAGAAUUUCAAACCGACAACACGUUCCGUCAGUGAGUUUCGCCGAAAAAUGCACCGAAAUCAACAUUUGAUUUUCGAAAAAGCCCAGGGCCUUGGACAAUCAGUCAAGAGGUCACCCGCGGUCUUUACACACUACCCACAGCAGCCACGAAGUGCACAAUUGUACAAAAGUCCCUGCAAAUAUCUAAAAUCACAUCAUUUUAUGUGAUUUUCGGGGUUUUACGGCUCGACAGUGCAAACCAAGGACCUUCAAGCCUGGCCGAGACACUCGCUGAUAGGUCUCAACGUGCCAGAGGCCGUGCUCAUGAUUCGGAGCAUGGUCGACCACUGCGGAGAGCGUGGGAGAGAUGCAAAGAUCUGCUAGCUACGCGCACAGCAUGAAAAGCAUGUUUAUCUCGCAACCCAGAGGCUUUCUGACCCCAACGAAGGUGGCCACGAUGAUCAGCACUGAUCAAGGAUCAUCAUACUCAUCUUCGGAAGCCUCGGGGUGGCUUCAAGUCACUGGAAUAGUGACCCGAACCCGAGACAGUGGCACAAAAUAGGUACACUAAAGCUUACCGGACCAUGGGGAGCUCGGGCACGACCGGCGGUGUCCGGGAGGCGGGCGCGCCGGCAGAAGGAGGGUGCUAGCGACGGAGGAAGGCCGGGGCGCGCAAUGGCCGGUGACGGCAGGCGGCCGCGGCGAUGGGCAAUGAUGCCCUAGCCGCACAACCCGAGGAGUGGAUUGGCUUAGCCCGAUUGAUAGGGAGCUCCGGCGGCGGGGUAGCCAGCGGUGGACGGGUGCGGCCGGCCAGGCAGAGCCGGUGUUCACGCUGGCCGGUGGCGGAAGGCAGCGGCGGCUGCGGUGGCGCAUCCCAAGCCCGUACGGGCUUGGCUCUGGCUCGGCUAAACGCAAAGGCCAUGGCGGCGGCCGGAGAGCCUCGAGGCGGCGACGACGGGCCGCCGGAGACCUAAGAGAGGCGACAAGGUCGGCCCCGAGCUGCGGCAGCGCAAAGGGAAGGGAUUGGAUCCGCCUCAGCUCGGAGUUGCCCAGGUAGGCCGCAGGCUGCCAAGGCGGCGACGGCGGCGCGCAGGGACAAUGGAGACCGGCGGACGGAGUCGCCGGACAUCGAUGGAGGGUGGCACGGCUGGUUCCAGGCGGGGGCAGCACGCGGGUUAAGUUCUAGCUUGGGCUCGGCCCGAGCUAACCCAGCUCGGCCGUAGGGAGCUAGCGACGGCGGCGGCGGCCUGUGGGGACGGCGGCGACGCGCACAGGGAGGUCACCGGGGGUCUAGGAGGGCGACGGGGCCAACCUUGGGCGGCUGUCACGGGGUUAGCUUUUUCGCCUCAAAAAUCCCCGCGCGGCGCCCAAGUGUCGCACACCCGAGCCAGCCUUCUCGAGUCCCUUACACGGACAAGUCUCCCAGACUUAACAGCGGAAUACCAAUCCAAGCAUUUUGCCAAGCUUGCUCCUCCACGAGACUUACAGCCCGACCCUUCGCCUGUAAUCGAACCCCUCGUCGAACUCCCCGAGUUCCCAACGAGCAACCCCAAUACCGAGGUUGGCCACCAAGCUAGGUGCAUCCCGUCUUGCCAACCGAUCUCUCCUCGAGAGUGCUUCACAACCGAAUGCCUUGCUGCCUUCGUCGCCAGCCCAAGGAUAUUACAAGUUCUCCCCCAACUUGUACAACAUGAGUAUAGCCAAGCGUCUCGCCUCCCACGCGUUUCGCUCCCGCGACUCCAUCCGCACGCCUCAAGCGUCGAGGUCCGGGCUUCGCGACAUCGCAUGCCACGAAGGGCACUCAUAACCAUAAGUUCCUUCAUGUCUUGCCUUAUGCGCCUGACAACGCCCAUGGCCAUACCGCCUAUGCGGCCUGCUCGCUCGGUCCAACGGCUUACCUCCGAAAAGCCACCCAAGUGUGCGCCACAAGCUUGCUUGCCCCCAACAUCAGCACCUCAGUGCGACACCCCGCACGUCCAUGCUUCGCACCUCCGUGCUUCGCAUCCGACCCGUGCGGCCCUCGUGUCCCAUCGCUCCUGACAAGGGAACCAACAAGUCCAUACCGUGCUUCUCGACCGUCUCAACGACCCUCGCUUUGCCACGGCGCUCCGCGCCCUUGACCCCCAUAGGUUCGCCUCAUAAGGCCCCAUACAAACGAACCGGCCUCACUCCGCAUCGCUAGCCACUGGCCCCUCCUUGGCUCGACCACGCCUGGCCGCUUACACCAUUGGUCCAGUCUCUCAAGGUUCACUAUACGGAUACCGAUACCGCUUGCCUCCUUGGGUUCCGCCCCUCGAGUCUCGUAGGCCACCCACCUUACGAAUUCUCCCUCGGCGUGCCUCCCUUUAGCGUUCCUAUUGAGUCCCGCCUCCUUGGCCUUCGUGGGCGCCGCGCCCCACGAAUCCCCGCUCGGCACACUUGCCUUCGCGAGCCUUGUCCUUUACGGAGGACCGUCCGUCGCUAGACUAUCCCUCAUCCGCUCGUACGCUCCACUACAGAGAUCCAAGCCGGCAUAAGGUAGCGCAAGCGAUCCUAGGGAGGAAGCCUCCCGGUAUUCCCCGCUUCCGUAAUGUCGUCGACCUCUCGCGUCUCCGACAUUACCCUAGGCCCGUGUCCCUUCAACCGUCCAUUAACCGGCUACACGGAACGCUAGGCUUGGCUACUCCGCUAGCCAAGGGACGACCCAUGUCCUAUGGGUCGACAAGGGAGUCGGGGACCCAUGUCCUAUGGGUCGACGGGGGAGUCGGGGCCACUUACGAAGUGUCCACCCCUCCUCUAAUACCCUUACGAGGCAUCCACUCCUUUGGCACCCCGGGGGUACAAAGGUGCUCACCGAGGGGUAUGUUUUCAAGCCCUGCAUGCGGCACCUAUUUCCAAGUCAUGGCACGGGCCAUUGCUAGGGAAUUGCCUCCGUUGACUUGACAGCGACUCCUACCUGACGGAACGCCUCAACUCCGCAACUCCAUAAUUUCGUCAACCCAAAUGCCUAUCAAGUAUGGCCCCCAAAGGUGUCACGGUCGAGACCCAGCGAUCGACCCGUGACACGGCGGUGACUCGCGGGCCACGAGUUCAAUAGAGCUCGGCCCGAGCUGGCCGAAGUAGGCCGCGGGUCGCCCAGGCGGCGACGGUGGGGCACGCGGACGGCGGGGACGGUGCCGAAAGUGGGGCCUCGGCCGAGGGAGGUGGCACGAGGGUGAGAUCUAGCCUGGUUGAUCUCGGGCAGGGUGAAGGAAGGAUGAGGGAGAGAAUGUGAUGAAGAAAGUUAGGUUUCAACUGCCGGCGGCGUGCGCAGGUGGUCGGAGCGCGUACGACAAAGGCUGGGGAGGGAGCUAUAGACGGCUAGGAGGUUAGCUGAGGGAGAUGACCUCUAGGGUUAGGGUUUCACGCACGAAACCCUAAAGCCAAAAUAUAUACCAAGUGAAAUUUUAUAGGAAAGUCCUCCAAAGAAGAAUGUUUUUAGCCAGGUCCCUCCCAGCACGUGCAAUAUGCGCGAACGUACCCUCAUGUCUGAUCACGUGCAAUUUGGUACAUAAAAUAUUACGACUUUUGCGAAGUUUUCGAUUUGUCACUUUCGACCCCUUCCCGAUCAUCAUGCAAUAUUCGGCGAUCCAUUCAUUUGAUUUCCGAACGGAUUGUGCCAGCGCGUUCAGCACGACCAAGUUAUCAAACUCACAGUUUUGUUUCAUUCAAUUUGGUCGCCAAUUCGCGGGGAAAGUCAUCAUCUCUCCGAUUUUCCAAAACUCUCUUAGUGAUAAAAAUCCUUUUUCCUCGAAAAUCGUGCAUCAAAUAUGAAAUCGCUAUGAACGGAGUCCGAUACGCGCCAGAAGCCAAUUCUCCUCAUCAGCCUCUCCGGAAAGCCGGAGUUACUAUUCAUUUUAAGUGAUUAGUAUUGAUCGCGUAACUUCUCUAUUCUAACUCGUUUUCUCCUGAAACUUGACGAGUGCUUAUGUAAUUAAAUUACACACAAAAAUAUCGUCAACAGAGAGUUUAGCUACACUGCCAAAACCUCAGUCCUUACACUACACUAACUCACCACUAAGCACACAUUAAAAUACACAUUAACUCACCCACUAUCACAUAGUAAUGAACCCUCAUGAAUACCUAAUGAAUGCAAGGUGAUCUAAUGGGCUGCCAAUGUCCUUUGGGUUUUCACUAGUAGUUAUGGAGGUAUUAAUUGUAGUAGUUACAAGCCUUUUCAUCUCCCAUAAUAGACUGCUGGUUUAGUGCCCCUUUGGCUGCCUACUUAGCGAAGUUGGGCUAGGGACUUGGUCGGACUGAAUAAUCACUAAGUCCCUGACAUUCUCCCCUACCUAACAUGCAGACGCCCUCGUCGUGCACCAAGCCUCUCUGCAUAGCCUUGCUCGCAAUCCAUUGUGCCUUUGCGCCCGCGCGGCCUUAAGCCUUGCUAUCGCAGUCCCCGUUCACUUCUGUACCAGCUCCCAAUGCCUUGCCCCUUUGAGCGUGAACACCAGCUAGCUCGCUGCGCGAAAAAUUUUAUCAUUGAGCCCAAACUGUCGAGUGUGCCUGCCCUCCAAGACACGCACGCACAUGCCACCAAGUUGCGGGAUGCUCCUUGAUCCCCUCGGGUCCUUCUUAGCUUUGUGCUUGACAGAGCGACACGCCCCUCGAUUGGGUGCUAGUUGUUUCUGCAUCUCUUGAGACUUAACAGUCUAACCCUCACCGAGGCUCUCCUCCGAGAGGUCCUUAGCCUUCCUGCACUUCACCUUCCCACAAAGCUAUAAGGUUGUAAGGGUCUGAUCAUUCAUCGAUGGGGCUGGGCUUUGGUUGCACCCCUUUGCGUCCCCUGUAUUAUGACACUCUCCCCCACCUUUGGCCUCACUUGCCUUAGUGGUUUGCCAUGAUCACUCUCAGUUCGCUUGAGUAGUGCCUCCCUCGUCUUGAGGUCCUCGACCUCCUUGACCUAGGCACCAAUGUCCUAAAGCAGUAUAUUUCAUGCAUCCCGCUCGUCGUUGCCAUAGAAAAUAUCCGCCUUGAACUUGUCCAGACGACGGCGGAAUGUUGUUAUGCUGCAACAAUAGCCUUCUCUAUCAAGUGAAGCCUCUCAUCCAACAAACUCAUAGUUUGCAGAAAUGUAGAGGACUGCUCCUCUAUUCUCGUUGUAACAUCCUCCUGCCCUGCAACCUCGCAUGGUACUUUAAGGAUGCAGCCUCCUUCGCUAGUGCCUGCGGCUCCUUUCUCCUUUCCCACUUGGUCUGCUUCAGAGGCUCAGUAGUUACAUCAAUGACAGCAGCAUCUGAUGACGACAUGGUUACUCGCUCUAACCGGCUCUGAUACCAACUGUCACGGCCUUAGCAUUUUUGCUCGCAAAGCCCAUACAGCGUCCGCCUUCCUGCUUGAAGAUGGGCAAGCCUAACUCCUUAUUGCUAGCUUGAACCUACACGCCCUAUGACUAAGUAUGCAAAAAAUAAGAGAAGAGAGAGAUAGAGAUUUUCAAAAAACUAAGUACCAUCAUUAUUUAGAAAAACUGGACUACAAUACACAACUCCUCUUAUAUCUCUACCUCUACUUUGGCCUUAGCCAAUCCUUCUACUUGUAGACUCCUAGAUACAAUGAAUUUAGCCUACACUAACUCACCACGAAGCAAACAUUAAAAUACACAUUAACUCACCCACUAUCACAUAGUAAUAAGCCUAAAGCUGUCCAAAAUACCCGAUAUACCAUACCCGAUCCGGACCCUACUCAGACCCUGCUAGACCCAAACCGGACUUGCUAAAAAAUGGAUAGUAUACGGAUAACAAAAAUUAUCCAUUAAAGUUUCAAGUAUGGUCCAGAUAUAUUAUAUCCAUACCCGACUUGGACCCAACUCGAACCUGAUUUUUUGAUGUGUAGGGUUUGAAAGAGUUUCCAAAUCCGGACCCGAAAUUGGACUCGGACAUAGACCCAGUGAAAUACCUGAUAGUAAAUAAAAAUAUUUGAAGUUGAGGGAUCAAUUUUAAUAGGACUUAUAGAUGAAGGGUCUGUAUAUUUUCAUCAUAAUGAAAACCUUAGUCGCUCUAUUUACACUCUUUUUUUUUUUAACUCAUAUAUUUUAAUUCUAGGGGUUUAUUACUUGAAUCUUUCUUUUGAGCGAAUUUUGUUGGACUGAAACUAAUUAGAACACGAGUUUUUUUAUAGUGACAGGUUGAUGGUUUGUCCAUAUACUGCUUAAUAAAGUUUAUAAAAAAAUAUAUGCAUACAGGUAUCUGUACCCGAUCUAGACUCGAUCAAUACCCGAUCUAUAUCCGAUCUUAAGUGGGUAAUAUAUGGGUAGUUACUAUCCAAACCCGCUCAAAGACUCGAUGGGUAUAUUAUUAACUUAAGUAUCUAGACCCGGAUCCGAUCCGAAGUUAAAUGGGUAGGAUAUAUAUAUAUUUUUUCCUAUCCAUUUCUUUUUGGGGUACGGGUAUAGUAUAUCAACUACUCAAAUCCGAUCCAAUCCAGGGACACCUUUAAAUGAGCCCUCAUGAAUUCCUAAUGAACGCAAAGUGAUUCCAAGAGUUGCCCAUGUCCCUUGGAUUCUGCUGGCAGUUAUGGAGACAUUAAUUACAACAGUUAUAUGCCCUUUUAUCUUUCAUAAAAGGCUGCUGGUUUUGUACUUCUUUGGCUAUCUACUUAGCGAAGUUGGGCUAGAGACUUGGCCGGACUGGAUAAUCACUACGUCCCUGACAGUUGGCUCACUAAUGUAGUUUAGUUCAUACUCUUAUUGAAUGAAGUGAAAAGCGUGCUACCUUUCUCUCCGAAAAUGAAAAAGAAAAUAGAAAGAAAGGAAAGAAAGAGGACCGCACGUAUGUUGAAACUAGCUAGCUAGGCACCUAAUUGGCAACAAGAACAUGUGCCCCACUACUUAAGAAGAACCCAUUUCCUUUACAUUUGUUUGAGGAAUAAUUAAGAAAACGAACCGCAACGGGCGGAAUCAUGGUAUCAAUGGAAUCAAAAAGCAACAACUAGGCCUUUUCAAUUGUUUCCAACUUGGUUUGGAUAGAAAAAUAUAAUUUGGGCUAAUAUGUAAGAAAAGAGGAAAAAGCAUGCAUCGGAAUAGAACGCUUAAUUGAAUUAUCAUCUAUUUGAUGAUUGUUCUAUAUUCUAAUCUUUUUAAUUUAUUCAAAUGCAAUCAUACAAUUAGAGAGUUCAUAAGAAUAUUUUAUGUGAUCGACAUUGCUAUAUUUCUAUUAAACAAGUGGUUAGGUCAAAAAUUUUAUAAUUGAAGAGAAAUCAAUUGACACUACAACAGAAUUGGGUUAUAGCAACACAUGUUUGGGACACUUUUGUGUAAGUGUCCCAUUUAUACCAAAACUUAAAAAAAAUCUACUAAUGCCUAAAUAAAAAGCCCAAUCCAACCAAAAAUAAAAGAUUACUCUACUCAACCCACCCCACCCAGCCUAUUUGGUCCGAUUACAAACAGAAAAGAAAAAAAAAAAAGAAAAAUCGAUUAUCAUCUGCUCUUCUCCCCUUACCCAAUCCACUGAAAUUCUAGACGAAGAGCCCUUCCCUCUACUCAUCCUCCGCUACCGCAGUCAACGAGGUAGAGUUCUGGCGGUUGCUAAAUACUUAAAUAAGUAUUAGUAAAUAAGCAGCACUCUUUUUGGUUUAUACCGACACUCUUUAACUGUCACUAUAUACCUAGCGACCUCACAUAUAGCAACACUUUUUAAAAGUGUAGGUAAUUUAGGCAGCAGCACUUGUUUUGACCUGUACCGAUAUUUAAAAGUGUCGCUAUAGACCGUUUUUGUUGUAGUGUGAUUUAAUUGAAGAGUGAUCUUAUCUAUUAUUUUGUUUUUAAUUUAACAUAAUAGUGGCAAAGAGCUCUUUACGUCUGAUACUUUAAUUAUCAUUAAGGGCAAACUUAUGUCCAAUUGUUAUUAAUUUGAUUACUCAGUUUAUCUUUAAUCUCUUAAUUUUAUGGAUAAUUAAUUUAAUAUGUAACCCUACUAUGUUUUGAAAUUGCGAAUUCACCUCUGUAAAGCUUUUAUUAUAAAAAAUAUUCUUCUGCAAUUGCAAAAGUACAAAUUUGUUCCUUCGUACAGGUUUAAUCAUCGUUAGCCGAUCGACCAAUAAACUUUCAUGAUCAGCACUGUUAGACCUUUAAAUUUACGAUUUAUGUUUAUUUAGAAUGACAUAGUGUUACUAUGAAAACAUUAAAAAUGAUAUAUGAUGUUAAAUAUCACUAAAAAGAUAGUUAUUAAUUUAAGAGUAAAAUGGAUAUUUCGUGGAAGAAUCCUAAUUCUAGCCAGUAAACUAAUGGCAAGAGAUACAUGUGAUAACUACGUAACUUUGAAGGGAUACGUUUNAGUAACAUUAGAAAAUAUAGAGAAGAAAUACCAAUAUAUUAACAAAAGUUCUGAAACAGGAAUUCAUUUACUACAAAAUGUGGAGUAAAUUAAUACAGGAGUUCAUAGAAAUAGUAGUUAAUAGAAACAGGAAUUCAUUCGCUACAAAAGAUAGAGUAAUUUAAUACAACUAAGUACUACUUUAACUAUAGUAUUUGGUCAGGAUGAUAAUUGAAAUGUGAUUAGUACUUCCCAGAUAUUCUUGAAAUAGCAUAACAAAACAAUUGUUGCAACAUUUUCUGCCGUGUUAAUCUACACUUUUCUUCGUAACUUGAUUCGGAACUUUCCAUGUAACUACAAAACAGAGUACAGUAUAAGUAAUUUUUCUUAUUCAUUUUUCAAUGCAAUGUGAACUUCUAAUUGAUUCAUUCUUGCCUGCGUGAUCUUUUUCGACUAUUUGAUUGUUCUUCAGAUAUCUCUGGGCUAGCCUGCAAGCUGUUGACGAAAACAAUAAAGAAAAUUCCCGAAUGCAAUAACUCAGUCAAUGUAAGAUAGCUUGUAUGGGUAUUUUGUACUGUGCCAUUGCCCAUGAUCAUGUCCAAGUACUUGGUGUUCGGCCACACGCGCCGCACGAUCCCCUCCCAGUUGUUAACAUUCAAAUACACUAAAUUGCAAAACAAUCCACACAUACACAUAGAGAAUCGCAAAAUAAUCCAACUCUAUGAUAAUUUGAUACUAAAGGAAAAAAUACAAAAAAAAAAUUUUUAAAAAAAGGGGGUAAAGAGAGGAACUGGACCUGAUCGCGGGAAGGGGUGAACUAAAUAUCAUGUACAUGUAGAAGCAUCUCAUCAUCUAUGCUGUUUCUGAUGAGAUCAAUGCAUUAAAUAUGAAAUGGUUAUAUUAAUAAAAAAAGAUUGUACAAUUGUAUUCAAUUAUGUAACUUUCUGUCAAAUUGUGCUCAGAGGAUGUUUCAGAAUAUGCAUUUACCUUCUUCACAUAUAAAAUCUUAGGAGAAUACAAAUUGAUUGCAUUUAUCAGGGAAGGAAAUAAAAUAAAGAACUUAUAUUUAUUGAGUUUCUGGAGAACAUGCAGCUUCUAAAAGGGAAAUAUACUUUAUUUAGAAUUUUGAUGUUUCUUAUGUUUUUUAACAUUUGUUUCGAUUUUCUUUUCACUAAAACUUUCAACUUUUCUGGGUACUAUUGUACAUGUCAUCUACUUCUUCCACUAAUACUAUAUUAGAACUAAAAUGCAGUCCACCUAAUUAUCAAUCCGACAGAAGCCAAGAGGAAAAUCUGCCGGGUAUACCUUUUUCUUUUUCAUCAUCACUUUUGCUGCAGCCUGCAAAGAACAGAUAGAUAACAGAAAAAUAGAUGAUUCAAUAUCUUAAUAUAGCUGACUUAUUAUGCUGAAUUAAGAUUAUGGAAAUACACACCUGCGUACAGAGAAAGACGCUAGUAGGAUUUAGGUCAAUUACUUCUUGCCACUGUGACUUCUUCAUUCUCAUCUACAAUGUGUUCCCCUCGUAAUUCCUAAUUAAAUGAUUUAUUUUGGUCUCUCUUCACCAAAAGGUAUCAUGAAUUUACUGAAACUGAAACACAGAGAAAGUCAAUUACCAAUUACCUGUGCAUUAUUUACUAAAAUGUCAACUGUUCCCCAUGCAUCAACGGCUCGGCGCUAAAGUCAAACCCGUCGGCGUAGUGCCCGCACUUGGUGGAGACGACGAUCUCCUCCCGCCGCGCCCCGAUCUCCUUGAGGCACUUGCCCAGCAGCGAACCUCGAAGCUUAUACAAAGAAGGAGAUCUAGGGCUAGAGUUAAGGAUACGGACAGGGAGGUGUCGAAGAAGUUGAUCCCGAGGUCGAGGGCGCGGCGCACGGCAGCGAUGGCGGCGGCAGGGGAGACGUGGUGCUCGAGGCGGCUGUUGUUGUUGCGGCGGAGGUGGUCGAGAAAGGGGUCCUCAAGGGCAUCGAAGGUUAGUGGGAAGGGCCGAAGGGGAUGGUAGUGGAGGAAAGUAAGGUGGGCGCACAUCAGCGCGAGGUCAGGGAGCGAGGAGAGGUGUUUCGGGAAGGAGGAUAGAGGAGGGAAGAGAAGGAGCAUGGACGGGCGCAUGUAAGAGAGAGUGAAAGGGCAGGUAAAUGGGCAGAUGAAUGAAAAAAUAAAUUAAGAGGGAGGAGACUGAGGGACGAAUGAGAUGAAGAGAAAGGGGAAUGUGAAAAGUCUCUAAAAAAAAAAAACUGACCAUCUAAUUAAAUAAGAAAAGAGAAAAUAGGCUCUAUUAAAAAAAUAUUAUUUUGUAGUUUAAGAGAAGAGGUGGGACUUUUUUUUCCUUGAAAUACGGAGAGGGCUUGAAUCCCACGGGGAUUAAUAGUAGUUAUAGAUAUGUAACCCUACUAUGUUUUGAAAUUGCGAAUUUACCUCUAUAAAGCUUUUAUUAUAAAAAAUAUUCUUCUGCAAUUGCAAAAGUACAAAUUUGUUCCUUCGUACAGGUGCAUGUAACCAUCGUUAGCCGACCAAUAAACUUUCAUGAUCAGCACUGUUAGACCUUUAAAUUUACGAUUUAUGUUUAUUUAGAAUGACAUAGUGUUACUAUGAAAACAUUAAAAAUGAUAUAUGAUGUUAAAUAUCACUAAAAAGAUAGUUAUUUAAGAGUAAAAUGGAUAUCCAGUAAACUAAUGGCAAGAGAUAUAUGUGAUAACUACGUAACUUUGAAGGGAUACGUUUGAUAACUAAAAUAUUGUUUUGUUCGAGCAUAAGUGAUUCUUGCUUAUUCUUGGAAUAUGUAUAACUUCUAGCGCAAACAGAAAUUAAACAAAUUUUGUGUUUUGGAGGAGAAUCAAGAUAUUGAGAGGAAUAAAAAAAAAUUUUGCUUUUGGGUAAUUGGAUUGAAAUAGUAGGAAUAAUAGUAAUUAUGAUUAAAAACAAAAUUAAUUUAUCUAUAUAAUAAGCAUCUAAAGAUUAAUAAAACAAUAUUUUAACAAGUUCAUAAUUUAAUUAAUUAGUUACUAUAGGAGAUGACGAAGAAUGAUUGAUGUUAAUUAAUGAAUAACUAUAAAAAAUAAAUCAGUACAUUAAUAUUAAUUAAUUAUUUAAGAAUUUAUAUUUUUAUUUAAUAUAUUAAUUUGAUAAAUUAUUACAAUAUUAAUUAUUUAAAUAAUACAAAUAUCAAUUAAUGAUUGAGUAAGCAGAUCAAAUUGUAAAUUAUUUAAUUAUAUAAUUAAUUAUAAAUAAUAAAUUAAUUACUAUUUAAAUACUUAUUAAUUAAUAACUUAAAUAAUUAAUUAGUUAAUUAUUAAAAAAUAAUUGCAUUAUUUAAGAAUAUUUUAUAAUUAUUUAUAACUUAAUUUAUACAGGAAUAAAAUAGAGAAUAGCUUAUUCCACCUAAUGGAUGGAAUUACUAUUCUUUUCUCGUAAGGGGUUAUUCCGAAAUAAUUCGUUUAAGAGGGAAAUAGUAAUUCUUGGUAUACUGCUAGGAAGAAUAAAGAGAAUAUAAAUCUUUUAUUCUCCCUUCAUUUCUUGAAUCAAACUUGGCCUAAAGGAUUUUAUUACUUUGCAGGAAUACAUGCGCAGUUACUUUGUAGAAAGUAAUGAUCUAAAAUGAAUUCGAAUUGCCUGUAAAACCGAAUCGAGGCUAAGUCUACAACCAAAAAAGUGGUGUAAUCUCCACACUCGCUUAUCGAAAAAUUGUACAAUUUAUCAACCCUUUUAAUUUUAUACAAGAAAAUAAUAAUAAUAAUAAUAAUAAUAAUAAAAAAGUAGUAGAGAAAGAAAUGUUUUUGAAUAAAAGAAAUUAUUGAAUUACAACCUAAAAUGUGUUAUUUAUCUGGCACUCCUCUUUGAUAAUUCGUAUGAAUCAUUAGUGCUUAACACUACCUUUCUUUUUUAUUAUUUUCGUUUUUCUAGGGGAAAAAAAAUGACGGCUAUAGAUGGUCAACUCCACCAAUAAUGAAAUGGUUGACCAUAUAUACAUAUAUGUAGGGGUGGAAACGAGCCGAGCUCGAGCGAGCUUACCUUGGCUCAAAUUCGGCUUGAAAUUAAUUUCUAGCCUAAAUUUAAGCUCAAGCUUGGAUUGAAAUUAAUUCGAGCCGAGCUCGAGCGAGCCUAAUUUCAAGUCGAGCGAGCUCGAGCCCUAAACGAGCCGCUUGAAAGUCUCAACAUUAUGCGAUCAAUAGUUUAAUUUGUAUAGAACAUUAUCUAUAAUUUGAUACAAAAAUAUGUCUAAUAGUUCAAAAUACAAAAUAAUUAUAUGAAAUAUAAUAUUAUAAUAUGAAAAAAAAUAUUUUAUGAGUUGAAUAUCUAAUUUUUUCAGUCUCACAUGUCUUUUCUUCCGCCUUCAAUCUCUAUAUUAUUCAUUUUCAUUUAUGCAGUCAAAAAUAAAUAAAUUAUAUAGAUAAAUAUUGGAUUAAACUAUCCAAUCAUAUAUAACUAAAAUUAAAAUUUUAUAUGAAUAAUAAUUUUCUAUUUUAAAAAUAUUCUGUAUAUUUUUUCAAGCAUAUAAUUAAUAGCAAGGUAGACAAUGGCGGACAUAUGCUGUUACUUGGUAACUUGAAGGGCUUUCGGCUUGGCUACUUAGGGUGAGAGACAGAAAAAGAAAAAGAGAGAAACAUAUUGAAAAUUUAGAGCUCUGUGAAAGAAAGAAAGAAAGUAAAAAUAUAUAAAUUUAGUAAAAUUUUGAUCUUUUAUUUGUCUAUUGGGUUUGUUUUUAUGGGCCAACAACAUUGGCCCAAUUUUAACUAAACUAAGAUUAUUCACUCAGCCUAUAUAUAAUUAAAAUAUAUUAUAUUUAUAUAUUUUUUAAUAUAUAUAUAUAUAGUGUAGAACUACUAUGCUAUCGAAAAUAUAGAGGAUUUGAUGUUUUCGAAUUUUUAACCCUUUGAUUAAGAAUUGUAUGGUUGGGAUGAUUGCGGUCCCCCUAGGAUUAAAUAAUAUCCCUAGGAUUGAGUGGUCCCUACAAGGUAAUAUAAUAAUAUUAAUCCAAAAAUAAGAAUUGAUUAAAGAGGUUGAUCUAAGAAUCAAAAAAUCGAAAGCACCGGACCCUCUAUACUUUCGAUAGCAUAGUAGCUCUACUAUAUAUAUAUAUAUAUUCAAGCUUUUCGAGCCUAAUUCGAACGAGCCGAGUAAUACUCAUGCUCGGCUUGAAAUGAAUUUCAAGCCUUUUUUUUUGUUCAAGCUCGGCUCAUUUAAUUUCGAGUCGAGCUCGAGUGAGCCAAAUAUCGAGUCGAACGCGAGUCGAACGCGAGCCGGCUCGCUCAUUUGCCAGCCCUACAUAUAUGUAAGUUAACUGCUUAAUUGUCCACAGAACUGCUCCGCAUACCUUCAACACAACGACUACAGGAAAAUGGAAAAGAAGAUUACUUCUUCUUCCCCCUUCGCCAAACCAUAUCCAUGGGCCAUCACCCUCCUCCUCCUCCCCCCUUCGCUCCUCGCCCUCUCCUACCUCCUUCCCUAUUCCGCUGACCUCCGCCUCCCAUUCAUCGUCACCUCCUGCGGCGGCCCCUCCCCGACCGCCACCACCAAGGCCACCCCAACAGCUGAACCCGAUUUCCGCCUCCUCAUCGGCAUCCACACCGUCCCCGCCAAGUACCACCGCCGCCACGCCCUCCGCCUCGCCUACUUCCUCCAGCAGCAACCUACUGCCUCCCCCAUGGCUCGCGUCAGCAUCCGCUUCAUCCUCUGCAACGUCGCCAAAGAAGAAGACCAGCUCAUCGUCGCCCUCGAGAUCAUGCACCACGACGACAUCAUCAUCCUCAACUGCACUGAAAGCGCGGAGCGGGGUAAGACCUACACGUACUUCUCCAGUCUCCCUGCCAUGUUCGAAGGUGGCGAACGGCCACCUUACGACUACGUCAUGAAGACGGACGACGACACGUACCUACGGCUUGACGAGUUGGUUAAGUCUCUUAAGGGCAAGGCGAAACGCAAUGUGUACUACGGAACGGGUCUACCGUUCCAAGAUAGGGAGCACCCUCCCUUCAUGCUGGGGAUGGGGUAUAUACUAUCGUGGGACUUGGUGGAGUGGAUCGCAUCAUCGGAAAUAGCGAGAAAUGAGCCGAACGGGAUCGAGGAUACGUUAACGGGGAAGUGGUUGAAUAGCGGGGACAAGGCGAGGGUAAGGUAUAACAUGUUCCCUAAGAUGUAUGAUUACAGAGGGGGAGAAGGGAAUGAUUUUGAGGCGGAAACCAUUGCGGUGCAUCAGUUAAAGGAGGACUUGAGGCUGGUGAGGACGUUGAAACACUUCAAUGUUACCACGGGGCUCAAGGCUUCAAAGCUCUACCAUAUUCCUUAAUGAUUUUUUUUUCUUUAUCUUAGGAGUUUUUUUUUUUUUUGUGGGCUUUUUUCCUGCUCUUUUUCUUGAGCAUUUUAAUUUUUAUGCUUAUCAUGUUGGAGGCUCUGCUCGGCUGAGCCAAAAGGAUAAGUAAUCCCCCAACAUUUAGAUUUGUGCGAUUUCUUUUCUUUUCUUGCUUAUAGUUAUUUCAAUUUAGUAACACACUAUAUGAAGUAGGUUUUUUUUUUUUUUUUUUUUUUGAGAGAGAGGUUGGNACGAGACUUGGAGUUUCAGGUUGGAGAUCAUGUUUUUCUCAAAGUCUAGCCGUCCAGAGGGAUACGCCGUUUUGAAGUACGUGGAAAGCUUAAACCACGGUUUGUUGGCCCUUUCGAGAUAUUGGAGCGUAUGGGACCGGUGGCUUACAGGAUAGCUCUACCCCCGCGACUUGCUGGCAUCCAUGAUGUUUUCCACGUCUCAGCACUGAGGAGAUACGUUUUCGACCCCUCUCACGUGAUUGACUUCACUCCACUCGAGAUUAGCGAGGAUCUGAGAUACGAGGAGCGACCGUUGCGGAUUCUUGCUCGUGAGAUGAAAGAAUUGCGCAACCGGGUCAUUCCGUAUGUGAAAGUGCAGUGGAGCCAUCACGAGGAGCGGGAGGCGACUUGGGAGCCUGAGACGGUGAUGAGGGAAGAUUAUCCCUACCUGUUUGAUGCCUAAGCAGAGGUAUGUUUCAGUUUCGCGGACGAAACUUUUUAUAGAGGGGGAGGAUGUGAGAUCCCUUGUGUUCAGCUGUGGAGGCUUGCCGAUAGCUCUGGAGAGUGUCGGGACAAGUCCGAGUCGCGUUGGCGUCAAAUAGACGUAAAACGGACUCCGUGCGACUCGAGGGCAGCUUAUAGCGAAGAUAUCUGCAAAACUACAGAUUUCUCUGCUUGCUGUACCGGUACAACCAGCGUGGCUGUACCGGUACAACCAUCGCGCAGAGGUUUAGCAGCUCUCGGGUUGGCUCUUGUACCGGUACAAGAGCCCGUGU